rnacentral:rRNA from 1 species
UACGUAGGGUGCAGGCGUUAAUCGGAAUUACUGGGCGUAAAGCGUGCGCAGGCGGCUUCCUAAGUCAGAUGUGAAAUCCCCGGGCUUAACCUGGGAAUUGCGCUUGAAACUAGCGGGCUUGAGUGCGGCAGAGGGGGGUGGAAUUCCACGUGUAGCAGUGAAAUGCGUAGAGAUGUGGAGGAACACCGAUGGCGAAGGCGGCCACCUGGACGGUCACUGACGCUGAGACGCGAAAGCGUGGGUAGCAAACAGG